UCCAGCUUAUCGCUGGCGGUCUCCUGCGAGUUCCGCCCUUUCGGGCAUGGCAACACAGGACAAGGGUUGCGCUCGUUGCGGGACUUAACCCAACAUCUCACGACACGAGCUGACGACAGCCAUGCAGCACCUCGACUCCACCCCCUUGCGGGGUACCGAUGUUUCCACCGGCGUUGAGAAGCCGUUCGAGCCCAGGUAAGGUUCUUCGCGUUGCGUCGAAUUGAACCACAUGCUCCACCGCUUGUGCGGGCCCCCGUCAAUUCCUUUGAGUUUCAGCCUUGCGACUGUACUCCCCAGGCGGCAUAUUUAACGCGUUAGCUCCGGCACGGAUCAACUGAAUGACCCACACCAAAUAUGCAUCGUUUAGGGCGUGGACUAC
rnacentral:misc_RNA from 1 species